GACAGUUCCCACCCUGAAGAGAAAGGGAUGCUCCGACUUACGCUCCUGUUGUUUUACGUCCUGCAACAAGGGUCUGGUCCAAGAUGGAGACCCUCUCAGGAAAUAACUGGUUGAUACUAAAAGGAAACUCCAUUAUAUCUCACAGAUAUAGACACGCCGGACCGUGAUAUCCAGGGUACAAUUGGUAGGAAAGACAUCACUCUCCCCUGUACAUGCAGCCAGUCCCAAGCAGCAGCAUCUUUUACACUGGGAGGCAGCCAGAGGCCCGUGAAAAAGUGCUUUCGGUACCCGCCGGACCGAAUGGGGGACAACAGAGUGCUACCUGAUUUCACAGAGACACACGCACACUAAAUAUCAUUCACUGUAUUUUGUACAUGUGUGUCCUAAUCUGUUUAUUGAUGUGAUCAUCAAUAAAACAUGUAACUGUUAAAACUGUGAAAAGUUGCCAGUUUACAUAUUAUUGCCUCAAUACUGUAAUGGGGUCAUAACUUAGCAGUAUACAAACCAGCAGGUACAAUGUUUAUUCGGCAUUGUAUCAGUGUUUUAAAAAGACUACAAAUCCUUAUGCUUACGUUUCUCAA